CCAGAGCUUGCUCUGGUGAAAGUGGCGCACGGGUGAGUAACGCGUGGAUAACCUGCCCUGGUAUCUGGGAUAACAUCUCGAAAGGGGUGCUAAUACCGGAUAAGCCCACGGACUCCUCGGAGUCUGCAGGAAAAGGAGGCCUCUAUUUAUAAGCUUUCGUAUCAUGAUGGGUCCGCGUACCAUUAGCUAGUUGGUGGGGUAAUGGCCUACCAAGGCGACGAUGGUUAGCUGGUCUGAGAGGAUGAUCAGCCACACUGGAACUGAGACACGGUCCAGACUCCUACGGGAGGCAGCAGUGGGGAAUUUUGCGCAAUGGGGGAAACCCUGACGCAGCAACGCCGCGUGAGUGAUGAAGGCUUUCGGGUCGUAAAGCUCUGUCAGAGGGGAAGAAAUGAAACGUGCUAAUAUCACGUUUUCUUGACGGUACCCUCAAAGGAAGCACCGGCUAACUCCGUGCCAGCAGCCGCGGUAAUAC
rnacentral:rRNA from 1 species